rnacentral:rRNA from 1 species
AUGUUUCAUGGUAGGCACAAAGAACGUAGGUGCGGGUGCGGGUGCGGAACACGGAGAAUGAGGGUGACGAGGGCUGAGCCGGUGCUCGUGCACGCUGCCGGUGACGUUCCUGCCGCCGACGAGUACUACUUCCUCUCCAACCUCGACCAGAAUGUGGCAGUGCUCAUGAAAACCGUGCACGUCUUCAGCCCGUCCCGCGCCCGCGUCGACGCGGCCGCCGUGAUCACGGACGCCCUGGGCAGGGUGCUCGUGCACUACUAUCCGUUCCAGGGGAGCCUGGUGGUCAGCACCGACGACGGGAGGCUCUCGGUCCGGAACGACCGCCGUGGCGUGCCUUUCGUCGUCGCGGACGCCGACUGCGAGCUCAAGGAGGUCGGGGACGUCGUACUGUCGGCACCCAACGCCGCCGCGGUUCAGGGGCAGCUCGUGUUCGUCGGCCGCAGCAGCAGCAACUCCGAGGACAAGGAAGAUGACGAGCUGAGGGCGCCUCUACUGAGCGUGCAGGUCACCAGGUUCAGGUGUGGCGGCUUCGUGCUCGGGCUCGCCAUGAACCAUUGCCUGGCGGACGGCGUCGCCGCGGCGGAGUUCCUCCGCUCCUGGGGCGAGAUGGCCCGCGGCGGGCCCCUCUCCUCCCCGCCCUUCCUCGACCGCACCGUGCUGCGCGCCAGGACGAGCCCCACGGUCGCCUUCCCGCACGAGGAGUUCGCAGAGAUGGAGGACGUGUCCAGCCUCGCCUGCCUCCGCGAGGAACCGCGGGUGCACCGGGCCUUCGCCAUCGACGCCGACGGGCUCGCGCGGCUGAAGCGGCAGGCGUGCGCGAGCUCCACCUUCGUGGCGCUGACGGCGUUCGUCUGGCGCGCGACGUUGCGCGCCAUGAGGAUGCGCCCCGAGCAGAAGAGCAAGCUCAUGUUCGCCGUCGACGGCAGGCGGCGCGUCGACCCGCCGCUGCCUCGCGGUUUCUGCGGGAACGCGUCGUCUUCGCCUGCUGCGUGUCCACUGCCGGCGACCUCCUCGGCGGGCCGGUGUCCGCUGCGGCCCGGUGGAUCCAGGACGCCAUCAGGCGCACGGACGACGCGUUCGUCCGUUCGGCCAUCGACUACGUGCAAGUGGCCGGUGGCCGGGCGCCGCGAGGCCGCACAGUCUGGCCCCGCGGAGCUGCCGCGCGGGGAGGUGGUCAUGUUUAUGCGGGACGUGCGUGAGGGCAGCAUCGUGGUGCUUCUUGGCCUGCCGCGGUCGUGCAUGCAAGAGUUCCAAGACAUGGUAGAUUUGAUCUGA